rnacentral:rRNA from 1 species
GACGAACGCUGGCGGCGUGCCUAAUACAUGCAAGUCGAGCGGACGAAUCGAAAGCUUGCUUUUGAUUCGUUAGCGGCGGACGGGUGAGUAACACGUGGGCAACCUGCCCUGUAGACGGGGAUAACACCGAGAAAUCGGUGCUAAUACCGGAUAACACGAAAUGUCGCAUGACGUUUCGUUGAAAGACGGCGCAAGCUGUCGCUACAGGAUGGGCCCGCGGCGCAUUAGCUAGUUGGUGAGGUAACGGCUCACCAAGGCGACGAUGGGUAGCCGGCCUGAGAGGGGGAACGGCGACAGUGGGCAGGAGAGACGGGACAGACGACGACGGGAGGAAGGAGUGGGGAAUAUGGCAGAAGGGGCGGAAGCGUGAGGAAGAAACGAGGAGGGCGGGAUGAGGGGCUGCGGGUUGGAAACCGCGGGCGCAUGGGACGAAGAGGGCGGGACGGUAAGGGGUAAAGAAGCACCGGAUAAUUACGUG